CAGUAGCCGCGGUAAUACGUAGGGUGCGAGCGUUAAUCGGAAUUACUGGGCGUAAAGCGUGCGCAGGCGGUUGUGUAAGACAGGUGUGAAAUCCCCGGGCUUAACCUGGGAACUGCGCUUGUGACUGCACAGCUAGAGUAUGGCAGAGGGGGGUGGAAUUCCACGUGUAGCAGUGAAAUGCGUAGAGAUGUGGAGGAACACCGAUGGCGAAGGCAGCCCCCUGGGCCAAUACUGACGCUCAUGCACGAAAGCGUGGGGAGCAAACAAGAUUAGAUACCCCAGUAGUCCCUGUCUCUUAUAC
rnacentral:rRNA from 1 species